AUUGAACGCUGGCGGCAGGCCUAACACAUGCAAGUCGAGCGGAGCGGCGGACGGGUGAGUAAUGCCUAGGAAUCUGCCUGGUAGUGGGGGAUAACGUCCGGAAACGGGCGCUUAUACCGCAUCCUAUCAGAUGCGCCUAGGUCGGAUUGGCUUGUUGGUGGGGUAAAGGCCUACCAAGGCGCCGAUCCGUGACUGGUCUGAGAGGAUGAUCAGUCACAUGGGAACUGAGACACGGUCCAGACUCCUACGGGAGGCAGCAGUGGGGAAUAUUGGAAAAUGGGCGAAAGCCUGAUCCAGCCAGGCGGCGUGUGUGAAGAAGGUCUUCGGAUUGUAAAGCACUUUAAGUUGGGAGGCGGUACCAACAGAAUAAGCACCGGCUAACUUCGUGCCAGCAGCCGCGGUAAUAC
rnacentral:rRNA from 1 species